GUCCUAGCCGUAAACGAUGAGCACUAGGUGUUGGCCCCGUCUUGGGGUCAGUGCCGCAGUUAACACGUUAAGUGCUCCACCUGAGGAGUACGGCCGCAAGGUUGAAACUCAAAGGAAUUGACGGGGGCCAGCACAAGCGGUGGAACAUGUGGUUCAAUUCGAUGCUACGCGAAGAACCUUACCCAGGCUUGACAUGCAAGGAGUAGGGACCUGAAAGGGCGACGACUCGUAACCAGUCGAGAUCUUGCACAGGUGCUGCAUGGCUGUCGU
rnacentral:rRNA from 1 species